CUUGCAUCUCAUCUCUUCGUCUUCAGUUCUCUCUCUCUCUGUCUCUUCCUUAAUCUCUUCGUCUUCGAUUCCUCCCCAAGCGUCAACGCCGCUACCGUUGCUCCUCCUCUGCCACUAUCCGCCCUCUCGCGCUAGUCGCCACCCGCCACAACUGCUGCUCCUCCGCCUCUGUUGUUCACCCCCUCACUAUUGUCCGCCCCCUCGCUCAGUCUCUUCAUCUUCGAUUCCUCCCGGAGCGUCGACGCCGCUGCCGCCGCUCCUCCGUCGCUGCUGUCCACCCUCUUGCGUCGUUCGCCACCUGCCACAGCCAUUGCUCGUCUGCCUCUGCUGUCCAUCUCGACCGAGCCCCAUUUUCCGUCACUCAACAAGGUUGAACUACCCUUUAGAUAGAUGGCGUGGAGGGAUGGGGUGAUGAAUUGAAGGCCGCAUCAUGGGCUUGAUGAAUAUUGGUGCCGAGGACAAGUAGAAAGUUGUGGUCAUCCAUGGCAAAGCUGGAAUUGGCAAGACGACUCUUGUAAAACUCGUAUACAACGAAGUCUCCCGGUAUUUCGAUGGUUGUUCCUUCCUCGCAAAUAUUACAGAAACAACUCGAGAAUUAGGAGGGCUUCAGCUUUUGCGAACUAAGUUAAUUUCUGAUGUUUUGGAAGGGGCACCUAAGGAUGUUGCUUUAGCCAGCUUGGGAAUUGAGUUUUUCAAGGACUUAUGUGGCCACAUGAGAGUUUUGAUUGUCCUCGAUGAUGUGGAAAAUGUUUGUCAUGUCAAGAAACUUAUCGGAGAUAUCUUUGGUUGCUUUGGAUAUGGAAGUACGAUCCUUGUAACCUUGUCUAAUUUACUUUACUUGAUGAGUUU